rnacentral:rRNA from 1 species
AAUAGAUACCCAGGUAGUCCACGCCGUAAACGAUGAGUGCUAAGUGUUAGGGGGUUUCCGCCCCUUAGUGCUGCAGCUAACGCAUUAAGCACUUCGCCUGGGGAGUACGGUCGCAAGACUGAAACUCAAAGGAAUUGACGGGGGGCCCGCACAAGCGGUGGAGCAUGUGGUUUAAUUCGAAGCAACGCGAAGAACCUUACCAGGUCUUGACAUCCCAUUGACCGCUAUGGAGACAUAGCUUUCCCUUCGGGGACAGUGGUGACAGGUGGUGCAUGGUUGUCGUCAGCUCGUGUCGUGAGAUGUUGGGUUAAGUCCCGCAACGAGCGCAACCCUUGUUCUUAGUUGCCAUCAUUUAGUUGGGCACUCUAAGGAGACUGCCGGUGACAAACCGGAGGAAGGUGGGGAUGACGUCAAAUCAUCAUGCCCCUUAUGACCUGGGCUACACACGUGCUACAAUGGACGGUACAAACGGUUGCCAACCCGCGAGGGGGAGCUAAUCCGAUAAAACCGUUCUCAGUUCGGAUUGUAGGCUGCAACUCGCCUAC